GACGAACGCUGGCGGCGUGCUUAACACAUGCAAGUCGAACGGAAAGGCCCCUUUUGGGGUACUCGAGUGGCGAACGGGUGAGUAACACGUGAGUAACCUGCCCUUGACUUCGGUAUAACUUCAGGAAACUGGGGCUAAUACCGGAUAGGAAUCCUUGCUGCAUGGUGGGGGUUGGAAAGCUUCGGCGGUUUUGGAUGGACUCGCGGCUUAUCAGCUUGUUGGUGGGGUAGUGGCUUACCAAGGCUUUGACGGGUAGCCGGCCUGAGAGGGCGACCGGCCACAUUGGGACUGAGAUACGGCCCAGACUCCUGCGGGAGGCAGCAGUGGGGAAUAUUGCACAAUGGGCGGGAGCCUGAUGCAGCAACGCCGCGUGCGGGAUGACGGGCUUCGGGUUGUAAACCGCUUUCAGCAGGGGCGAAGCUUGUGGUGACGGUACCUGCAGAAGAAGCACCGGCUAACUACGUG
rnacentral:rRNA from 1 species